CAGUCGCCGCGGGAAUACGAAGGGGGCUAGCGUUGUUCGGAAUUACUGGGCGUAAAGCGCACGUAGGCUGCUUUGUAAGUCAGAGGUGAAAUCCCAAGGCUCAACCUUGGAACUGCCUUUGAUACUGGGGAUCUCGAGUUCGGGAGAGGUGAGUGGAACUGCGAGUGUAGAGGUGAAAUUCGUAGAUAUUGGAAAGAACACCGGUGGCGAAGGCGGCGACCUGGUCUUUAACUGACGCUGAGGCGCGAAAGCGUGGGGAGCAAACAGGAUUAGAUACCCGUGUAGUCCCUGUCUCUUAUAC
rnacentral:rRNA from 1 species